GCCUUCGUAGUAUAAUAGUCAGCACGCUCGGCGCGUAUUCGAGAGGUCCGUGGUUCGAAUCCCGGCAAGGGCA
rnacentral:tRNA from 1 species